GUCUCCUGUGUUGGGGAAAAAAAAUAAUGUGAGAAACUGGAAGAAAGACAAAUGGGAUUUUUAUCAGAUUGGUACAGGCAGGGGAAGGGGGUGGUGUAGACAGAGGUGAUGGACAGAGCCGAGCAUUUCCUCUUGGCUGGUCUUAGGAGCUCCUGUACUCUGACUGCGACUAGUUUUUCCAGGGGAGCAUUUAGCUUCUGAGUUUCCUUUCACACACUGCGAGGAUGACCUGCCCACUCUCUAUCUGCCCACAACAUCAAGAGGGCGCCUGCCUCAGCCCUGGCGAUGUCCACAAGGGCCUUUCAUCCUGGGCAUGAAAUGGAAAUGAUCCCCCAGGACCAUAGAGUGCUGCAGCCUGGCGCCAGGGAACACUCUGUCAGCUGCCCUUAGCUUGCUUGCUUUUUGAGCUAAUUCUUUUCAAGGUGAACUUGAUUUUUUUCCCCCUCACUGGAUUUUAUAUUUUAAUUCAAUUAUUCCUGUCUGGUAGCUCUGGCUGUCUUGUUUGGCGAGGCGGGCCUGUGGCUGGCACAGAUACCCAACCACAUGAGAUUUGGGGGAUGCCAUUCCUUAAACUUCUCUAGCUCACAAAACUUUUCUAGGUUAUGCCCCCUCCUCACUUUGGUGUUAAAAACCCUCAAAAUACUGUGUCACCAUAAUAUUUCUGUAUUUGUUUUGAUAAAAGCAAAAAUUAAGGUUUUAUAUUGCCAUUUUUAAAAAAAACAACAUAAAAUAAAUUAAUUUUUAAAAGUUGAAA